rnacentral:rRNA from 1 species
UACGUAGGAGGCGAGCGUUGUCCGGAUUUACUGGGCGUAAAGGGCGCGCAGGCGGCCUUGCAAGUAGCGUGUGAAAUCCACCUGCUCAACGGGUGGGGUGCAUGGUAGACUGCAGGGCUAGAGGACGGUAGAGGGGGGUGGAAUUGCUGGUGUAGCGGUGAAAUGCGUAGAGAUCAGCAGGAACACCCGUGGCGAAGGCGGCCCCCUGGGCCGUACCUGACGCUCAUGCACGAAAGCGUGGGGAGCAAACAGG